AGUGAACGCUGGCGGCAGGCCUAACACAUGCAAGUCGAACGGCAGCACAGUACUUGCUUGUGCUUACGGCGGGGGACUGGUGGGUGGGUCAGGAGAAUAUCCGAAGCUACUUUUUCUAGCGUCCUAACGCAGGGAAUCUUACCCCAAAAUUGCAUACGACGUAAGGGUGAGAGCAUCGGAUCUUCCGCUCUCAUGCGAUCGGAUGAGCGGAUGUCGGAUUAGCUAGUUGGAGGGGUAAAGACCCAACAAGGCGACGAUCCGUAGAUGGUCUGAGAGGAUGAUCAGCCACACUGGAACUGAGACACGGUCCAGACUCCUACGGGAGGCAGCAGUGGGGAAUAUUGGACAAUGGGCGAAAGCCUGAUCCAGCCAUACCGCGUGGGUGAAGAAGGCCUUCGGGUUGUAAAGCCCUUUUUUUUGGGAAGAAGAGCAGUAGGUUAAUACCCCGCUGUUUUGACGGUACCCAAAGAAUAAGCACCGGCUAACUUCGUG
rnacentral:rRNA from 1 species